UACCUGCAGCUCGAGUGGUAACCGCUGUUAUUGGGCCUAAAGCGUCCGUAGCCGGUUUGGUAAAUAUCUGGGUAAAUCGUGAGGCUUAACUUCACGAAUUUCGGAUAGACUGCCAGACUUGGGAUCGGGGGAGGUCAGAGGUACUCCAGGGGUAGCGGUGAAAUGUUGUAAUCCUUGGAGGACCACCGGUAGCGAAAGCGUCUGACUAGAACGAGUCCGACGGUGAGGGACGAAGCCCUGGGGGCGCAAACCGGAUUAGAUACCCGGGUAGUCCAGGGUGUAAACGAUGUGGGCUUUGUAUUGGAGGUCCCACGUGGGCGUCCAGUGCAGAAGAGAAGUUGUUAAGCCCACCGCCUGGGAAGUACGGUCGCAAGGCUGAAACUUAAAGGAAUUGGCGGGGGAGCACAGCAACGGGAGGAGCGUGCGGUUU
rnacentral:rRNA from 1 species